GCGUAGCUUGUGUAUCAGCUACGCUAACUUGUAGCGUAGCUUGUGUAUCAGCUACGCUAACUUGUAGCGUAGCUUGUGUAUCAGCUACGCUAACUUGUAGCGUAGCUUGUGUAUCAGCUACGCUAACUU